CAGUCCAUUCUGACCGUUCUCAAUGCUGUUCUUAUUGCAAUAAUCAAACCCAUUUUUCACACCAUUCAGCUGACCAUUUAUAGUGUUCUUUUCAUUUCCAAGACUUUUUUCAUGACUGCGGUGAAGUUUUAGAACAGAGGCCCACCUUCCUGUAGAGUAGUUCCAACCUGUUCUGACACACUUGUCUGAAAGUUUCUAGUAAUCCUUAAGACCUUGUCUGCAUCCGAAAGCUUAGGCUGCUGACUUGUUGCCUUAUUGGGCAAUGACUUUGCAGGCAGCAUUUGCGCAUGAAGGCACCUCACGGAACUGAUUUU